rnacentral:rRNA from 1 species
AGUCGACGGGAACCUUUUAUUGAAGCUUCGGCAGAUUUAGAUUGUUUCUAGUGGCGGACGGGUGAGUAACGCGUGGGUAACCUGCCUUGUACAGGGGGAUAACAGUCAGAAAUGACUGCUAAUACCGCAUAAGCGCACAGGACCGCAUGGCCCGGUGUGAAAAACUCCGGUGGUAUAAGAUGGACCCGCGUUGGAUUAGCUGGUUGGUGAGGUAACGGCCCACCAAGGCGACGAUCCAUAGCCGGCCUGAGAGGGUGAACGGCCACAUUGGGACUGAGACACGGCCCAGACUCCUACGGGAGGCAGCAGUGGGGAAUAUUGCACAAUGGGGGAAACCCUGAUGCAGCGACGCCGCGUGAAGGAAGAAGUAUCUCGGUAUGUAAACUUCUAUCAGCAGGGAAGAAAAUGACGGUACCUGACUAAGAAGCCCCGGCUAACUACGUGCCAGCAGCCGCGGUAAUACGUAGGGGGCAAGCGUUAUCCGGAUUUACUGGGUGU